rnacentral:rRNA from 1 species
UGGGGAAUAUUGCACAAUGGGCGCAAGCCUGAUGCAGCCAUGCCGCGUGUAUGAAGAAGGCCUUCGGGUUGUAAAGUACUUUCAGCGAGGAGGAAGGCGUUGUGGUUAAUAACCGCAGCGAUUGACGUUACUCGCAGAAGAAGCACCGGCUAACUCCGUGCCAGCAGCCGCGGUAAUACGGAGGGUGCAAGCGUUAAUCGGAAUUCAUGGGCGUAAAGCGCACGCAGGCGGUCUGUCAAGUCGGAUGUGAAAUCCCCGGGCUCAACCUGGGAACUGCAUCCGAAACUGGCAGGCUAGAGUCUUGUAGAGGGGGGUAGAAUUCCAGGUGUAGCGGUGAAAUGCGUAGAGAUCUGGAGGAAUACCGGUGGCGAAGGCGGCCCCCUGGACAAAGACUGACGCUCAGGUGCGAAAGCGUGGGGAGCAAACA